ACCCCCUGGCCUCGUGCAAGGAGACACCUGGUUGGUGGUGUUGCUCUUAUGUCAGCCAGGGGCAAAGCAGAUGCACCAUCACCCGCGGGUGAUGCCUGUAUUGGUGGCCAGAGCUCGUUCACGCCUGAGGCGCAGAA